CUGACCUUGACGGUACCUAACCAGAAAGCCACGGCUAACUACGUGCCAGCAGCCGCGGUAAUACGUAGGUGGCAAGCGUUGUCCGGAUUUAUUGGGCGUAAAGCGCUCGCAGGCGGUCUUUUAAGUCUGAUGUGAAAGCCCACGGCUUAACCGUGGAGGGUCAUUGGAAACUGGAGGACUUGAGUGCAGAAGAGGAGAGUGGAAUUCCAUGUGUAGCGGUGAAAUGCGUAGAGAUAUGGAGGAACACCAGUGGCGAAGGCGACUCUCUGGUCUGUAACUGACGCUGAGGAGCGAAAGCGUGGGUAGCGAACAGGAUUAGAUACCCUGGUAGUCCACGCCGUAAACGAUGAGUGCUAGGUGUUAGGGGGUUUCCGCCCCUUAGUGCUGAAGUUAACGCAUUAAGCACUCCGCCUGGGGAGUACGGCCGCAAGGCUGAAACUCAAAAGAAUUGACGGGGACCCGCACAAGCGGUGGAGCAUGUGGUUUAAUUCGAAGCAACGCGAAGAACCUUACCAGGUCUUGACAUCCUUUCGCCCUCCCUAGAGAUAGGGAUUUCCCUUCGGGGACGAAAGUGACAGGUGGUGCAUGGUUGUCGUCAGCUCGUGUCGUGAGAUGUUGGG
rnacentral:rRNA from 1 species